rnacentral:rRNA from 1 species
UACGAGGGGGGCGAGCGUUGUUCGGAAUUAUUGGGCGUAAAGGGUGCGCAGGCGGUUUUGUAAGUCUGUCGUGAAAUCCCCGGGCUCAACCUGGGAAUUGCGAUGGAGACUGCAAGGCUAGAAUCUGGCAGAGGGGGGUAGAAUUCCACGUGUAGCAGUGAAAUGCGUAGAGAUGUGGAGGAACACCGAUGGCGAAGGCAGCCCCCUGGGUCAAGAUUGACGCUCAUGCACGAAAGCGUGGGGAGCAAACAGG